UGAGUAAUGCCUAGGAAAUUGCCCUGAUGUGGGGGAUAACCAUUGGAAACGAUGGCUAAUACCGCAUGAUGCCUACGGGCCAAAGAGGGGGACCUUCGGGCCUCUCGCGUCAGGAUAUGCCUAGGUGGGAUUAGCUAGUUGGUGAGGUAAGGGCUCACCAAGGCGACGAUCCCUAGCUGGUCUGAGAGGAUGAUCAGCCACACUGGAACUGAGACACGGUCCAGACUCCUACGGGAGGCAGCAGUGGGGAAUAUUGCACAAUGGGCGCAAGCCUGAUGCAGCCAUGCCGCGUGUGUGAAGAAGGCCUUCGGGUUGUAAAGCACUUUCAGUCGUGAGGAAGGUAGUGUAGUUAAUAGCUGCAUUAUUUGACGUUAGCGACAGAAGAAGCACCGGCUAACUCCGUGCCAGCAGCCGCGGUAAUACGGAGGGUGCGAGCGUUAAUCGGAAUUACUGGGCGUAAAGCGCAUGCAGGUGGUUUGUUAAGUCAGAUGUGAAAGCCCGGGGCUCAACCUCGGAAUUGCAUUUGAAACUGGCAGACUAGAGUACUGUAGAGGGGGGUAGAAUUUCAGGUGUAGCGGUGAAAUGCGUAGAGAUCUGAAGGAAUACCGGUGGCGAAGGCGGCCCCCUGGACAGAUACUGACACUCAGAUGCGAAAGCGUGGGGAGCAAACAGGAUUAGAUACCCUGGUAGUCCACGCCGUAAACGAUGUCUACUUGGAGGUUGUGGCCUUGAGCCGUGGCUUUCGGAGCUAACGCGUUAAGUAGACCGCCUGGGGAGUACGGUCGCAAGAUUAAAACUCAAAUGAAUUGACGGGGGCCCGCACAAGCGGUGGAGCAUGUGGUUUAAUUCGAUGCAACGCGAAGAACCUUACCUACUCUUGACAUCCAGAGAACUUUCCAGA
rnacentral:rRNA from 1 species